CGCGAGUUGAAGUUCGACGCUCCUUNGAGUUNNGUCNCUGCUCUCCCACUCUUUGGCACGGCAGCAGGAAAGGAGCUCAUAANGCUUCCCCCCGGCAAGUCUCACGGAGCCUCACGUGUUUCUAGAACACUUGAUACGAUAGUCGCUCUUUCUCCGCGGGAGGAGCAAUAUGUGGCGCUGUUNAGCGCGCAAGACCCCAGAGUUCGGUGGUGAGAGUUUUGUCUGUUUCAUGAAGAUUCAUUGUUAGACACUUUGGAUUUUUCCACUUUUUGGUGUGUUGGUUCCGUCCCGCCCCGCAGGUGUNAAAANACAAGUNNUCCCUCCCUUAGGGGGGGCCUGCGGAAGGAUCAUUACUGUGAUUUACUACUACACUGCGUGAGCGGAACGAAAACAACAACACCUAAAAUGUGGAAUAUAGCAUAUAGUCGACAAGAGAAAUUUACGAAAAAACAAACAAAACUUUCAACAACGGAUCUCUUGGUUCUCGCAUCGAUGAAGAGCGCAGCGAAAUGCGAUACCUAGUGUGAAUUGCAGCCAUCGUGAAUCAUCGAGUUCUUGAACGCACAUUGCGCCCCUCGGCAUUCCGGGGGGCAUGCCUGUUUGAGCGUCGUUUCCAUCUUGCGCGUGCGCAGAGUUGGGGGAGCGGAGCGGACGACGUGUAAAGAGCGUCGGAGCUGCGACUCGCCUGAAAGGGAGCGAAGCUGGCCGAGCGAACUAGACUUUUUUUCAGGGACGCUUGGCGGCCGAGAGCGAGUGUUGCGAGACAACAAAAAGCUCGACCUCAAAUCAGUAGGA
rnacentral:rRNA from 1 species